CGUGUAUACUUGCACGCAGGGGCGAAGCUAUGGUAAAAUUGUGGGGUCAAUUGACCCCACUCAAUUUUUGAAAUCAAUUACAAAUUUUUUUUUACCCCACUCAAUUUUUGACUCCUACUCAAUUUUUGACCCCACUCAGAUUUUUUUUUAAUUAGAGAUACCCAAGCGGUCAAGCUUCAGUCCUAAAUCUCAUACAUCAAUAUCUGUUCAGCAC
rnacentral:lncRNA from 1 species